rnacentral:miRNA from 1 species
AAAAGUAAUUGCGGCUUUGCAAUUACUUUUAAUGGCAAAACUGCAGUUACUUUUGC